rnacentral:rRNA from 1 species
CCUGGUGAUUAUAGUGUGGUGGAACCACCCGUUCCCAUCCCGAACUCGGAAGUGAAACGCCUUUACGCAGACGAUACUGCCUUGGUAGUGGAGUGGGACAAUAUGUCGUCGCCAGGA